GCGCCGUGCAGUCARAAGAGCCA
rnacentral:rRNA from 1 species